rnacentral:rRNA from 1 species
AUUGAACGCUGGCGGCAUGCCUUACACAUGCAAGUCGAACGGCAGCACGGGAGCAAUCCUGGUGGCGAGUGGCGAACGGGUGAGUAAUAUAUCGGAACGUGCCCAGUCGUGGGGAUAACGUAGCGAAAGCUACGCUAAUACCGCAUACGAUCUAUGGAUGAAAGCGGGGGAUCGCAAGACCUCGCGCGAUUGGAGCGGCCGAUAUCAGAUUAGGUAGUUGGUGAGGUAAAGGCUCACCAAGCCGACGAUCUGUAGCUGGUCCGAGAGGACGACCAGCCACACUGGGACUGAGACACGGCCCAGACUCCUACGGGAGGCAGCAGUGGGAAUUUUGGACAAUGGGCGCAAGCCUGAUCCAGCAAUGCCGCGUGCAGGAUGAAGGCC